GUAUAGUUUUUCAGAAGUGUUUUUGUAGAGCUCUACUACCUACUGUAAAUUGCUUCCACGUGUUAUGUUUAUUUAUAUUUUCCAAUCGAUCACAACAAUGGCGACAAGCGGCCGUCGAGCAUGUAAUUAUUGCUAAUUGCGGGUUAACUAUCCGAUCACAAUCGUUGACAUUCACGUUGUUUCAUAGAAAACGAUUGUAGCACAAUCUAUAGAAACUAAAUUGUAGUUGAACUUUAGAAGUAGCUUUUAAAUUAGGAUUUAGAAAACCUAACUAUAUUUAUGAGAAUAGUUUGUGUUUAUUAGAGUUUCUUCAUAUUAUUAAAGCUUACAAUUCAUCACUUAUCAGUAGAGUUAGACUCCUGUAUUUGUAUAAAAGUGUAGGUAUGGUAUAGGUUUUGAUUUUACGCUUGUAUAAAACUUCUUAGCAAUUUUUUUUUAUAGUUAUUGAUGAAUCAAUCAGAUAGAGACCGUCGUGCCACGCUAAGGCGUGACAACUCACCGGACUCUGACUGAAGCCAGGUGCAAGCUCUAAAACUCUACGCUAACAUUUUAGGAAAAGUACUAAUUUAUAAACUUUUCUCACCCCAAGAACGACCCCGAUAGAAUACUAAAUCAAUCGCUUUGCCAGAACAAGGUAAUUAAUGUUGUUACAAACCUGCAAGAUUGUUAUCUAAACGCGGGGCUAAUCGAUCACUAGUGCCACACGAUCGCCUGAUAAUGAUCAAAUUAUAAGGUUGACAGACACCAUUAAUGGACAACGGACAUGGAUGGAACUUUUACAUAAAUCUAUCUAACAUUUGUAUUGGCUGAACCGGUGUCGCCAUUUAAAGAAAAUGUCAUAAUCUCUUAAAUUGUAAUUAAGCUAGUAAAUUCUCUAGAUUUAUUUUAUUUUACUAAAUGUAGCAUACAUGAGGAGUAAGGCAUCAACAGCAUUCCAAUUUGGAGCAAUAAUAAAACAAAUUGAAUUUUUAGAUCACAUCUUAUUGCUUCAACUCCAUCACUAUGUCUUUGAGAGUAGAAACUUCAAAAGUCUAUCACACAAAGGACUUGGAUAAACAUGAGCCACGAGUGAAACAGUCGGGAUGCAGCCGCGCAGUUCAAGAAUUUUGCAGGGAUACUACUCUACAUGGAUUUAAAUAUUUGGUCUCUACAAACUACUACGAUCGCGUAUGCUGGCUGCUAUGCUGCUGCGCCAGCGCGUGCUGUGCCGGCGUGCUGUGCUCCGUGCUGUGGGCGCGCUUCCUGCAGGUGCCGGCGCUGCUGACGCUGCACGACCUGCGCGGACAGCUGGCCACGGUGCGCCUUCCGCUGGUGGCCGUGUGCCCGUCCGCAGAGGUCGUGGCCUACCACUUUGCAAACAAUCUAUCAAUACCUGAAAACAUAACAGAUCGUUUGCCAGUAAUCCUGAACAAUGUGUUGCGGAGGAAAAAGACGCAAAACAAUCAGCUGGUCCUUCUAGAAGACGUUCUAGUGAGGAACAAGUUGACGCUGCCAGAGGCUCUGAUGAGGGUGACUCCGUCGUGCCAGAGCAUCGUGCUCAACUGCCGCUGGCACCGGUACACGAUACCUUGCGAGAUGCUGUUCGAGAAGGAGCUGACUGAUUGGGGGGCGUGCUGUGUUUCCAGACCUUACAACCUGAAGCUCAACGAAGUGAUGAAAUUGCAACUGGGACAAAUCAGGAGGCUAACAGUCGCGGUGCAGUGUUCAGACCAGUCUAUAUUUAACGGAUGCGAGUUUUACACAAAGUACGACGGCGAGGAGUGGGUGCAGCCCAAGUCGCUGGACCCCGGCCACGAGUACCUCGCGCACAUCAGCUUCACCUCGUUCGUGGACAGCGACCCCGACAAGCUCACUGACGCCACUUGCGUCAUCACCGCGGGCUACUCCAGGAACCGGUGUCUGUUGGAGUGUCGGGAGCGACACUGCGGCUGCUCGGAGCCGCUGCGCGACGACAGGGAGAGCCAGAGCGCGCUCCGUCCAUGUCUCGUGACACAGCUCGCCUGCUUGCGCACCAACUCUCUGGAACAGAAUGACUCGUGCGACUGUCUGCCAUCGUGCAAGAAAGUGUUCACGUACAUGGCGCUGGAGUCCACCAUUAUGAACGCAUUCGAGUAUACUAACGAUGACAUAUAGCCUCAACAUCAGCACCGGCUCGGUGCUGCGCGUGGCGGUGCGACUGAGCGAGUCGCGCAUGUAUGUGGUCAACCCCACCGAGACGUGGAUCACUCUGCUGUCUUCUCUGGGUGGAGUAUUCAACAUGUUCCUGG